rnacentral:rRNA from 1 species
CGGGGKGCCUAAUACAUGCAAGUCGAGCGGAUCUUCAUUAGCUUGCUUUUGAAGAUCAGCGGCGGACGGGUGAGUAACACGUGGGCAACCUGCCUGUAAGACUGGGAUAACUUCGGGAAACCGGAGCUAAUACCGGUAAUCCUUUCCCUCACAUGAGGGAAAGCUGAAAGACGGUUUCGGCUGUWACUUACAGAUGGGCCCGCGGCGCAUUAGCUAGUUGGUGAGGUAACGGCUCACCAAGGCAACGAUGCGUAGCCGACCUGAGAGGGUGAUCGGCCACACUGGGACUGAGACACGGCCCAGACUCUACGGGAGGCAGCAGUAGGGAAUCUUCCGCAAUGGACGAAAGUCUGACGGAGCAACGCCGCGUGAACGAUGAAGGCUUUCGGGUCGUAAAGUUCUGUUGUCAGGGAAGAACAAGUAUCGGAGUAACUGCCGUACCUUGACGGUACCUGACCAGAAAGCCACGGCUAACUACGUGCCAGCAGCCGCGGUAAUACGUAGGUGGCAAGCGUUGUCCGGAAUUAUUGGGCGUAAAGCGCGCGCAGGCGGUUCCUUAAGUCUGAUGUGAAAGCCCCCGGCUCAACCGGGGAGGGUCAUUGGAAACUGGGAACUUGAGUGCAGAAGAGGAGAGCGGAAUUCCACGUGUAGCGGUGAAAUGCGUAGAGAUGUGGAGGAACACCAGUGGCGAAGGCGGCUCUCUGGUCUGUMACUGACGCUGAGGCGCGAAAGCGUGGGGAGCGAACAGGAUUAGAUACCCUGGUAGUCCACGCCGUAAACGAUGAGUGCUAAGUGUUAGAGGUUUCCGCCCUUUAGUWUGCAGCAAACGCAUUAAGCACUCCGCC